AAUCAUGACUCUGUGUUAUACUGUAUUCAGAGCUUUCGUCUAGCGGCAAACCGUUCCUCCUCCAGUUAAUGGACGCCUUUACAUCUUCAACAGGAUAUAUAUAGUAGACACUGUAGCAGGACAACGUCACACUCCUGUCCACGUGGGCUGUGUCUGGUGCAGCGAUGUACGGCUGUUGGAAAUCUUCGGCAUCUCCAA